ACGAUGCGUAGGGGUUCUGAGAGGAAGGUCCCCCACACUGGUACUGAGACACGGACCAGACUCCUACGGGAGGCAGCAGUGAGGAAUAUUGGUCAAUGGGAGAGAUCCUGAACCAGCCAAGCCGCGUGAGGGAAGACGGCCCUAUGGGUUGUAAACCUCUUUUGUCGGAGAACAAAACCCGGGACGAGUCCCGGACUGCGUGUAUCCGAAGAAAAAGCAUCGGCUAACUCCGUGCCAGCAGCCGCGGUAAUACGGAGGAUGCGAGCGUUGUCCGGAUUUAUUGGGUUUAAAGGGUGCGUAGGCGGUCUGUUAAGUCAGCGGUAAAAUUGCGGGGCUCAACCCCGUCGAGCCGUUGAAACUGGCAGACUUGAGUUGGCGAGAAGUACGCGGAAUGCGCGGUGUAGCGGUGAAAUGCAUAGAUAUCGCGCAGAACUCCGAUUGCGAAGGCAGCGUACCGGCGCCAGACUGACGCUGAGGCACGAAAGCGUGGGGAUCGAACAGGAUUAGAUACCCUGGUAGUCCACGCAGUAAACGAUGAAUGCUGGUUGUCCGGGUCGAAUGAGACCUGG
rnacentral:rRNA from 1 species